CCCCAGCCCACGUCUGCUCAGCAUCCAGCACCCCCAUUGUCCUGGCCUCUUGGAAACUCCUAGGGGCUCCCAAACACCCACUCGCCAACCUUGGAAAUCUCACACACCCCAAAUUAGCCCCUAGCACCCCGGUAACCAUUCUCCAUUCUCCCCCCUCCCCCCAUCUAGCUGCCCCUCCCUGGUGCCCACCACUCACUCUUAACUCUGAAGAGGACCGCCACCCCACCUGGCGACCCAGGACCCCAACGUCAGGGACAGGGCCCCCCGCCGCCAUGCACAAACACUACACCGUCCGCUUCAUCAAGGGCGCCCUGCCCCUUCGGACCCCCACCGAACACUACUUCUUGGACCCGGAGUUGGGGCAGCAAAAAGAUAUCCUGACAGAAGAUGAUGUCUACUGCAGCUGUCUGGCCAAGACCCUCUGCCACGUGCCUGUCCCUGUGACCGUGGGUUUCUAUGCCCCCUUCGGCUGCCGCCUGCACAUGAUGCUGGACAAGAUCACCGGUGAGGCUCUGUGUGUGCUGGGGGAGGAGGGAGUACGGGAAACGGAGCCCCUGGUCCCCACCCGGCCUCAGGCUUCCCCAAGCCCGCUUGCUCCCGGGGCCAGCCGGGCCCCAGUCUGUGAAGUCAGUAUUAACCAGGUCCCUCCUGACACCCACAGCCUCUGUCCCCGGGUCCCUGCUCAUUCCCUCUCUGGCCUCCUGGCCACCAGUCCCAUCCCCUCCCCUGCCAGAGCCACUCCAAGGAAUCUUCGGAAGAUACAGCUCUGGUGGGGCACCUGGGUGGCUCAGUCAGUUAAGCGGCCGGCUCUUGAUGUCAGCUCAGGUCAGGAUCUUGGGGUUGCUCAGCAUGGAGUCUGCUUGGGAUUCUCUCUCUCCCUCUCCCUCUGCUCCUCCCCCUGAUCUCUCUCUCAAAUAAAUAAAUACAUCUUUAAAAAAAAAAAAAAGAU
rnacentral:lncRNA from 1 species